AGGCCCUGAAGGGAGCGGCCGCUGAGGCCCUGCAGCAGCAGCUCGGCUCUCGGAGCAGGUUGGCCAGCACUUGGAUCUGUAGUGCUUUGUGCUUGGCACAGCUGCUCAAAGGACCCUGUUCCUGCAGAAGGAUGGCUGCAAAGAAAAAGGAGGUAGUGCUGCAGAUUAACAUUACUAGCCAGGAGCUUUGGGAAGAAGUGCUGUGUCUCAAAGGACUCAUUGUUGUCGAUGUGUUUCAAGCCUGGUGUGGCCCGUGCAAACCAGUAGUGAAUCUGUUCAAAAAAAUCAGGAACGAAGUUGGCAGUAAUCUCCUGCAUUUUGCUGUGGCUGAAGUUGAUUCCAUUGAUGCUCUGGAAAAAUACAGAGGACAAUGUGAGCCUGUCUUUCUCUUUUAUACAGGAGGAGAAUUAGUGGAUGUUGUAAGAGGAGCAAAUGCACCAUUGCUGAAGAAGACCAUCCUGAAAUACCUGGCAGGGGAAAGGAAGGAUUUACGUGGAAGAGAGUCUGUGGUGGUAAUAGGUGCCAGACAGAGCCUUCUCCAGAGAGCAGGGAAGCACAGCUCCCCUUCAGGAGGAACAACGGGAAGGACUAACAGCAGGGAUUCAGCUACUCCUGGGACACCAGAGGGGCCAUUCCACCACCUGGGCACACGAAGAGAGUCACCCUGAAACACAGACAAGGGCCCAGCAUAGUUUGGGUGUCUGGCAUUGUGAAACUGGGGGUGGUUUUUAAAAGAAAACACAGAUGCUUGAGCUCCACAUCUGCUUGCACCGUCUUCUGCCUUGCCUAAAAUUAGCCACGAAUUCCCAAAGGCUUUUGCCCCUUCUCCUAAAAGGGACAUUUUUUUUUUCUUGGCUUUGCUGGGACAACGCUGCAUCCUGGCCCUGUGCACACCAAAUCUUAGGCUCCAGAAUGUGGGAAUCGAAGCAAAACCCUCCUGGCUUUAGCUGAAGCACCAUGGAAUGGAGGGGCGUGAGGGAUGUUGGUCUCUGCCUCUCCUUUCUGCGCCUAUUGUUAAUUCUGUCCAUUUUCUUCCC